rnacentral:lncRNA from 1 species
UUUUUCUUUCUUUUUUUUUCUUUUUCUUUUUUUAUUUUUUUAACAUUACUUUCUGCUUUCUUUCACAACAGAGAAACAGUUUGAAUUUGCUGAAACCUUUCUGCAGCCCUUGAAUUGUGGAGCAAUUACCCUGACAGUUGUUUGCGUAGGAACAAGCACGGUGACAGCACAGCAAGCCUGUGAAACAAGCCCAGCACAGGACUCAGGGUGUUCUGCCAAAGGUCAUAGCCCGAGCGUUCAGAAAUGUCAAGUAGGACAUGGCAGUCCCUUGAUUCCAAGCAGCUCCAUGCUUGGUCCACACCCUUCUCAGGGGUCCCGCUGCCUGAUGAAGUGAGGCCUGAGCAAGAUGUACAGAAAGGCUACCCGGGGAUGUCCAGUUUGCUACUUGAACUGCGGAGGCGGUGGGAACUGCAGAGGCAGAUGAGCAUGUGGAGCUGAUGGGUGGUUCGGCAGCUGAUCUGUCUCACAGACUUACAAUGCAAGAAAAAGUCUAGGGGACAGUUUGCUCCCACGGAAAGACUACGUGAACUGUGCUGAAGAUCAAUGCAAGUUUCACCUCAAAAAAG